rnacentral:rRNA from 1 species
CAGCAGCCACGGGAAAACGGAGGGGGCUAGCGUUGUUCGGAAUUACUGGGCGUAAAGCGCACGUAGGCGGCUUGGUAAGUUAGAGGUGAAAGCCUGGAGCUCAACUCCAGAAUUGCCUUUAAGACUGCCGAGCUAGCAGGUGAGAGAGGUAAGUGGAAUUCCGAGUGUAGAGGUGAAAUUCGUAGAUAUUCGGAAGAACACCAGUGGCGAAGGCGGCUUACUGGCUCAUACUGGACGCUGAGGCUCGAAGGCCAGGGUAGCGAAAGGGAUUAGAUACCCCAGUAGUCCCUGUCUCUUAUAC